rnacentral:rRNA from 1 species
CCUACGGGUGGCUGCAGUGGGGAAUAUUGCACAAUGGGCGCAAGCCUGAUGCAGCCAUGCCGCGUGUGUGAAGAAGGCCUUCGGGUUGUAAAGCACUUUCAGCGGGGAGGAAGGCGUUAAGGUUAAUAACCUUGGCGAUUGACGUUACCCGCAGAAGAAGCACCGGCUAACUCCGUGCCAGCAGCCGCGGUAAUACGGAGGGUGCAAGCGUUAAUCGGAAUUACUGGGCGUAAAGCGCACGCAGGCGGUCUGUCAAGUCGGAUGUGAAAUCCCCGGGCUCAACCUGGGAACUGCAUUCGAAACUGGCAGGCUAGAGUCUUGUAGAGGGGGGUAGAAUUCCAGGUGUAGCGGUGAAAUGCGUAGAGAUCUGGAGGAAUACCGGUGGCGAAGGCGGCCCCCUGGACAAAGACUGACGCUCAGGUGCGAAAACGUGGGGAGCAAACAGGAUUAGAUACCCCUGUAGUC